rnacentral:sRNA from 1 species
GUCGUAACAAGGUUUCCGUAGGUGAACCUGCGGAAGGAUCAUUGUCGUACCUAUAAAGCAGACCGUGAACAUGUCGACUAUAUGGAACUGUGGCGAUCACGUCGCAUUCCACUCCCGCAUGCGGGCACCUAGGUGUGCGUUGUGCGGGCUAACGAACCCCGGCGCGGUAUGCGCCAAGGAAAACUCAUAGAAGCGUCGGCCUCCCUCGCCCCGUUCGCGGUGAGCGUGUGGGGAAAUGAUGUCUCUCAAAUGUCAAAAUGACUCUCGGCAACGGAUAUCUCGGCUCUCGUAUCGAUGAAGAACGUAGCGAAAUGCGAUACUUGGUGUGAAUUGCAGAAUCCCGUGAACCAUCGAGUCUUUGAACGCAAGUUGCGCCUGAAGCCUUCUGGCUGAGGGCACGUCUGCCUGGGCGUCACACAUCGCGUCGCCCUCACUCCCUCCCCUUCUUACGGGGCGUGUUUUUGGUGGGGGCGGAUAAUGGCCUCCCGUGCACAAUAAUGUGCGGCUGGUCCAAAUGCGAACCCGCGGCGACUCACGUCACGACCAGUGGUGGUUGAAUCUUCAACUCUCGUCUGUCGUGUCGGAUGGUGUUGCAUGUUGCGCUCUAUUAUAGACCCAUAGGCACGAGUUACUUGUGCUUUCGACUGCGACCCCA